CCUACGGGAGGCAGCAGUGGGGAAUAUUGCACAAUGGGGGAAACCCUGAUGCAGCGACGCCGCGUGAGUGAAGAAGUAUUUCGGUAUGUAAAGCUCUAUCAGCAGGGAAGAAAAUGACGGUACCUGAUUAAGAAGCCCCGGCUAACUACGUGCCAGCAGCCGCGGUUAUACGUAGGGGGCAAGCGUUAUCCGGAUUUACUGGGGGUAAAGGGAGCGUAGACGGCAGCACAAGUCUGGAGUGAAAUGCCGGGGCUUAACCCCGGAAGUGCUUUGGAAACUGUGCAGCUAGAGUGCAGGAGAGGUAAGUGGAAGUCCUGGUGUAGCGGUGAAAUGCGUAGAUAUUAGGAGGAACACCAGUGGCGAAGGCGGCUUACUGGACUGUAACUGACGUUGAGGCUCGAAAGCGUGGGGAGCAAACAGGAUUAGAUACCCUAGUAGUC
rnacentral:rRNA from 1 species